GAAAGGUUUGAGGUGCGAGCCGGCUCACACCGGGUACUUUAUUGAGGGGAAAUAAUCGUGCUCUAAUGACAGACGUGUAGAUAACUGUCAUUAAAAGCCCGUCGGCGGCGCCCAGGCGCAGCGCGUCACCGCGCGCUGCUAACCUGUCGCACUGGAGAGGACACGGGUCCACGGGUCACGAUGCCCUGUCCCUCUCUUCUGACGACCGCCCCGGUCACGGUAUCCCCGCCUUACGCUUCGAGGGGGAACGGGAAACUCGAGCGAGGGCGAAGACCGAGUUAAGGGGGAGAGGAGGCGGAGAUCAGUAACUCCCUCUAUAUGAUUCCGCGAUCGUUCGGGCCUGAUGAAUGACGCGCGUGCACAUAGACAGUGGUAGCUGUUAUUCUCGGCACGCGGCACCCCGGAUGAUGUCAGAUCGAUCUCCGCGGAGAGAAAUGCUGGGUAUUCAAUAAUCUAGUCUCCUCCCAAACACGCUCGAGGUUACUAGGCUCGUAGAGCGGCUGGCGGGACACUUAUUAAUAUUCUUAUUCUUAGGACAAACUCCGCGACGAGGACUCGGUGUUACGAGUCCCUCUCUUGGUCCCCGAACCAACCACGGCUCGGCGGAGAGACGGAGGUCUACCGGCUGCAGCGAUAUCUCUCUUUAGUACAAAAUGUCCGUUACCAGUGUGUGAGGAAUCAGUAUGUGCCCUGAGUGACGGAGAUCAGUGGGUGUAGCCGUGCAGAUGUCGCUCAGACUCACCUCGGGGGCGGCGGGUGUCCGCUUUCGGGUCUCCUCCUUUGGUCUCCUCGGUGGGUCGACGGGUGAAGAAAUAGGACUCACAAAAAAGUAGGUCCACGAACCGAAUGUAAAGUUUAAGACUGCAAGGCAGCCAAGUAUUUUAUUCAAAAAAGGAAGAAAGAAAUAAACAAAGUACAAUUAUAAGUGAUUUCCCUCUCGGGAGCCUGACUCAAAAGUCACAAGAACUUAAAAAACUCUUUUUCUUCAGCCUCUCUUUCUUCUGAUCGUCACCUUUAUACCCUCGGCUCCUCCCACUUUUACCGGAUAUCCGUCCCCCUCUUUGGGGUGCUGAUGGGGGGUUCAUCCCCCCCCCCCUCUCUUCCUGAGAGGUUCUGGAGAGACUCUCUGUCCCACUUCAAAGAGGGGGACCGUUGUCUUCUCUUAUCUCUCAGGCAUUUAGGGUACCCGCUUUAUGACCCUUUCAGACCUGGUGAGACUUCCCGAUGCCAGUGACAUCAAACACACUCUAACCGGGGGUUAGGAUACCGAACAUAUUGGGAGACAUAUAUCACAUUAUCAUAUCAAUGACCAUUGAUCUACAGGCAGGUUAACACACAUGAAUCCAGGCUCGUGUUUAUUCACUUUCGUAGUAACAUCCUCUCUGGCCCAUUUGGUCAGGAUUUGGGCUCCUGAACACACAAUCAACCAGGUCUUCAUCUGAAUAUCACAAGAGGUGCCAUGGUCCUGUCGUGUCGAGCCGGUUGUAAACGCCUCCGCUGACCCCUCAGGACCUGUGUUCUGUCACACCUGGCCCUCUGCUUCUCGUCCCAGCGAUGGCCUCGAUGCUUUCAUCUGAUUUUACAGCCACUCUCCCUGUCGGCCGGCAUGAUGGAUUCCUUGUUGCUUUCCUAUUGUCGUAGUCUAAUGGAACUGGGGUCCCCUUUGAUCUGUUUUAUUACUCACAUUCCGCAUUCACUUUUCCCGGCCUGUUCUUGCUCUUGCUAAUCCCAGAAAAAUUCGCAUUUAUUUGUCCCACUUCUAACAGUACCUACGAGGCUCAAUGCGACGAGAGGUCUGUACACAUGUACUGUGUGUAUGUGUAUGUGUGUGUGUGGUGCUAAAACAAUCACAUUGAAUUCGCACUUUUUAUUAUCCAAUUAAAAAUGUCCACAACAAGCCGCCUCCUGCACUUUGCUGCUUUUUCCUCUCGUCACCAAAAAACCCUUCAGAGCUUAGCAGCCAAUCACACGCCAAGUUGUGGAAACGUGUCUCUUGCCGUGGGGGAUGGCGGGCGGCAGUCACGAGAGGGGGAAAACCACAGAACCAACUGCCACUUGCCAAAUAAUAACAAUGCAAAGCAUCUGUGGUGCCAGCAAGACGUCUAAAAGUGAAAUGACACAUUCCUACAAUUCCUCCCUAGUACCUGGUUGUUGUUCAGGGUUAUUCAUGUUCUGGAACCGGUUAUUACUUCAUCCCUCAAACUGACAGGCACUUCGCCUUUCAGGCUUUUCUCUGGAAGAAAUUCCCCUGUGUGUGUGUGUGUGUGUCUUGUGUGUCUUGUGUUUCUCUAGAAACUUUCCCCGAUGCUCACAUCAGAAAGAAUCCUCCGUGAGGUAAGUUAUUCUCUCUUCCUGAGGACUCUUUAUGAGGCUCACCGAGUUAUCGAUCCAAAUGUGUUCAUAUGCAGUUUGUGGAAGUUAACACAUUUUUUUUAAAGAGUAAAAGUAUAGCAACGCAAAGUUCAAAUAUAAGACUUGAGGUUUCUGAGUCUCCGGUGAGGCGUGUAGCACAUCAUUCACAGCCUAAUUUAUAGAAAAUGUUAAUCAUAACACAUGGGCACAUUUGUAUUUUUGUUUUUGUUUUAUGGCUGUUGACCGUGUUCUGAUUUAGAGUGAAAACGAUAUACACAAAAUUAAACAAUCUUUUAGAAGCUGUCUUCAUCAAUCGUUCAGAUUUCUGUUGUGGAAACGUGUGCACAUAUUUGAGAAGGUAAAACUUUAAAAUGAAAUAUUAAAUUUCAUAAAGUGUCAUAUAAAAAUUUAAUUUACAUAACCUAAGUAAUUAAACGGACACUUAAACCGUUUAGCAGCAACUGAACCUUUAACCCUCGGGCGAGGAACCAAAUAUGGUAACUUCAUUUAUUUUACUACAAACUGGCAAGGAACCAAAUAUGGUAACUUCAUUGACGUUGAUUUUCUACCCAAAAACAAUAUAAUUUUUUUUUUUUAUCUCACAACAAUAAAACAGUAUUUGUAUUUCCUCCAAUAGCACGGUAGUGUUGUCAUUUGGAAUUCCAAAGUAUUUCAAUAAGUGCCUCAUAAAGCGUUAAACUAAAGAGACUGCUUCAAACAAUGAUUACGUCAUCAUACGUCACCUGUGACUGCCGCUAUAUUCUCUCAUUGUGUUGACCAAUCUGCCACUUGUGUACUGCGUGUGUGUGUUUUAUUGUUUUGUAUUGUCCUGUCCAGUAUUGUCCUAUAGAGUCCGUGUUAUAAAUAUGUUAUAUGGCCACAUCCUUUUAAUGGUUGCAGACAAACUAAAUGCAUCUCUAGCUCACUCACAUUUAACUGAUGAAUGUGCAUCGUCUCUGGUACAUAAAUAUAUAAAUAAUAAACUGGGGAGGUUUAAUGCCUGUUAAAAUGUUCCCCGUGUCACAUGUUCUUAAUGCAGUACACAUUUGGACCUCAUUUCCAAAUAAAUGUUGAAUUAUUCCUUUAAUCCUUUUGAUCAGAAAGGUACAAUAAUGAACUCAUUUGAGUCUGAACAUGGAGAAGUUGAGAUGAUUAUGGUUAUGUAUCACACUGCAGACCAACGACAGAUCAACAUGCACCAGGUGGUCCUCCCUGGUGAGCCGGUCCAGGUCUACCCGGGUCCUCUGCUAGUAAUAUCCUUCUUUUGUUUACACUUGCAGAAUGUCCAGCCUGUGGUUGAUGAUUCUGCUCUACUCCGCCUCAGCAGAUACAAGAGUGUCCCUGAGGUGCUCCUCGCCAGUGGCAGUAGCAGCUGGAGACACAGCGUCACUAAACUGCUCCAUAGAUUCUACCAAUGGGGAGUUUAUUGGGGAAAAGUAUGUGUGGCGUGAAGUCCCCCCCAAGGACAUAACGCGUGGCAAGAAAUAUGACUUUGAAUGGGAUAAUGGGACAUAUGUGUCGUUGACCAUCUCAAAUGUUUUGGAGGAGAAGAACUACACUGUGGACAUCAUGGGACCGGCUGGUCGUUCAAACGGAUCUAUCCAAGUACUGGUUAUCACGCGGGAUGAAUCAGUCAUACGGAAUCCAUCCACCAAGCUGGAGACCUCCAUUCUCUUGUGUAUUUUCAUUGCCGUCAUUGCUUUGGGCAUGUUGUGCUUCCUUGCUUUCCUGUGGGAAAAAUUCAAUUUGAAUGAACGCUAUCAGGAAUUAAAUAACAGGAGGAGACCACUGGUAUGAGAACCCUGCUCGGAGAGGGCAGACUCGCUGAUUGCCACACAAAUAAGUGUCAGUUUACUUUAGAUAAAUAUGUACUGUAUAAAUAUAUAUAUAAUACUAUAUAUAUUUUAUAUAACAUAUUAUAUAUAAUAUACAAUAUAUUAUAUUGACUGACUGACUGUCACCCCCAGGACUACCACCUCUUCUUCCACCUUCCUCUCUCCUCCUUCUUCCCGCUCCUUCCUCUUCCUCCUCCUCCCUCUUCCUCCCACUCCUCCUCCCUCCUUGCGUUGAUUGUUGUUUGUCAUGUCCAAAUGUUGCACCUUCCACCAAAAAAAAUUCCUCGUUUGUUUGUGAAAACAUUCAUUCUUUGGCAAUAAACCUGUUUCU